UCGAGUCUUGACCGGGUUGUAGCUGGCCUUCCGAGGCAUGUGCACGCCCUGCUCAUCCACUCUACACCUGUGAACUUACUGUGGGUUUCAUAUCGUGAAGCGUGUCGUUUAACGGCUCGUGAAGCGGUCUGUGCCUGCGUUUAUUACAAACCCUUGUAAAGUAAUAGAACGUGUAUUGCGAUGUAACGCAUCUAUAUA
rnacentral:rRNA from 1 species